rnacentral:rRNA from 1 species
GACAUAGGUGGCGAACGUUAUCCGGAUUUAUUGGGCGUAAAGAAUGCGUAGAUGGUGGAAUAAGUUAUUGGUCGAGGUCAAGCUCAACUUGGUGGAAGCUGGUAAUACUGUUCUACUUGAGGACAGGAGAGGUUGGCGGAAUUCUGUGUGGAGCGGUGAAAUGCGUUGAUCUACAGAGGAACACCAAAAAGGGCGAAGGCAGCCAACUAUUCUGAUCCUGACAUUGAGGCAUGAAAGCGUGGGGAGCAAACCGG